CAUUGAGGUCGAAGAAGGCUAAGUUGAAGCUGCAGAAGCGGGUAUAAAUGAAAUCUUCACGCUUAGGGUCGUACUCAGUGAUGUCUCUGCGGCAAACAAGGUGGAAUUUUUUUGCGGCACUAGCCCCCCGCUAACUUUUUUGACAAAUUUAGCCCCCUUCAAAACAAAAUUGCAAAAGCAGCCGGGUGGAAGGCCUUUCCGCCAAUGGCAUUGGCGAAAGGGGAGCAAAAGCGUUUUUCGAAACAAAUGCACAAACACUGUAUGUGUACCGCUACAGUGCGUGCUACAGUGCAUUCCGCCAAUGCCAUUGGCGGAAAGUCCAUAUAUAUCUUUCUGGGCUUUCCGUUAGGCUUGUUUUGUCAAUAGUUUUCAGAGAGGACCAGUAUUGACAAAAAACGUUGGAAGUGAGCCACUGCCCGCAAAAAAUUCAACAAGGUGGAGACCGUGCAGCACCUUCUCCUGUGCCGUGAGCUCUGGGUCCUCCCAUGUGAGCGCUGGUUCUGCAGGCUCCUCCAAUAACCGCUCCAUAUUCUGCUCCUCCGCCGUGUGUGCUGUGUCCGAAGAAGGGAUCACAACUCCAAUAAUUCGCGAUGCAUCAGAAGAUUGGGGAAUCAGGGGGAUCUGUCGAGGAGCGUAGGUACCUGUUGUCGACUCCCACCGUUGUCGAUUUGGAGAGUUUCUUGACGGAGCGUUGUCGAUUUGGAGAGCCAGCUUGGGCCGAUUCGUACUCGCACAGGGUGAUUUUUUUUUUUUGAGAACAAUGAUGAACAGGGUGAGUUAGAAUCGAAAAGAAAAGCCUGACCCCUUGCCUCCGCGGCGGCUGGAAGGAAUCGAGGCAGAGCUUGUUCCCAACCAAAUCGGAGAACGUACACGUUCGAGACGGAGAUCGACGGGCACAACAGACAUGGAGUCACACACGGCCGGCGGCGGAGCCACCGGUCGCCGAGAAGAAGGGUAAUGGAUGCAUGAAGCCGGACCCGGAGCCGGAAGCCCACGCCGGAGGAGAAGGCAACGAUACUUCUUUUUUAUCUUAAAUUAAAGUACAAAGAGGACAGUGCUCCGAUUGCUCGAUGCCUGUUCAACAGCAUCCACAGUAGUAAGCAAGUUGCUUCCAUCAGUUAACAUGCAUGGAAUGGAGCACAAUGUCCAAGUCAUUUCAAACAUAAAUAUCAAGUCCCUUAACUUAGGAGAGCUUGUACAACUUGCACCACUGACUACAUGUAAAAAGAACAAGUGCAAA